GCCGCAGUAACUCAGCCUGGCCAGAGUGACGGGCUCAUAAUCCGUAUGUCCGGGGUUCGAAUCCCCGCUGCGGCA
rnacentral:tRNA from 1 species